ACAGAGGGUGCAAGCGUUAAUCGGAAUGACUGGGCGUAAAGGGCACGUAGGCGGAUAGAUGUGUCAUAGGUGAAAUCCCCGGGCUUAACCUGGGAACUGCCUGUGAAACUGUGUAUCUAGAAUAUAGGAGAGGGAAGUGGAAUUUCCGGUGUAGCGGUGAAAUGCGUAGAUAUCGGAAAGAACACCAGUGGCGAAGGCGACUUCCUGGUCUAAUAUUGACGCUGAGGUGCGAAAGCGUGGGGAGCAAACGGGAUUAGAUACCCCGGUAGUCCACGCUGUAAACGAUGAGAACUAAAUGCUUGUUAGCUAAGGUUAAUGAGUAUUGAAGCAAACGCGUUAAGUUCUCCGCCUGGGGAGUACGGCCGCAAGGUUA
rnacentral:rRNA from 1 species